rnacentral:rRNA from 1 species
AUUGAACGCUGGCGGCAUGCCUUACACAUGCAAGUCGAACGGCAGCACGGGAGCAAUCCUGGUGGCGAGUGGCGAACGGGUGAGUAAUAUAUCGGAACGUGCCCGGUCGUGGGGAUAACGUAGCGAAAGCUACGCUAAUACCGCAUACGAUCUACGGAUGAAAGCGGGGGAUCGCAAGACCUCGCGCGAUUGGAGCGGCCGAUAUCAGAUUAGGUAGUUGGUGAGGUAAAGGCUCACCAAGCCGACGAUCUGUAGCUGGUCUGAGAGGACGACCAGCCACACUGGGACUGAGACACGGCCCAGACUCCUACGGAGGCAGCAGUGGGGAAUUUUGGACAAUGGGCGCAAGCCUGAUCCAGCAAUGCCGCGUGCAGGAUGAAG